AUUCUUGUACAUCUUCACACGAUCAAUAUUCUAGUUACUUCGUUAAACUUAUACAAUUCAUUAUAAUACGUUAUAGUGAAUACAAAAGAGAGGAGAAACUAGGUGCUAUACAAGUAGAGGUUGCUAACCAUCUCAGAGAAGCUAAUUUAUAAAGCUCUCAAAGAAACAUUCUGUAAUCAUUCAAGUUUCUCUAAAGGGAACCUCUUGUAACACACAAACACCAGAAGUAGGCACCACAAAUGUGUUUCGUACCAUGAUAAAUUUUACUACGUCUUUUACUGUACUUCUGUAUUUUUAUUUCUCGCUACCAAUGCUUCUUUGAUAUCAACACUGUUGUGCAGGAGAGUUGGUUAACUGAUCACACUAGUAAACUUAAGAGUUCAACUUCAUGCAAAAAAUGUUAGCAUCAAAAUCAAGCACAAGGAAAAGAGUUUUGGGGCCAUCGGAGAGCAAAAGUGAUAUCAUCAAAGGGAUCUAUUAUGGCCGCAUUGCGUUAAAACUGAUAAAGAGAGAAAGCACAACGUACAUGAUCGAACGGUCUGAAGAAGAAUGAAUAAGCCAUCAAUCUCUAUUAGGUGUAUUUUUAUUUUGGUUGAUAAUUAAUAUUAUCUCGUGUGUAAAUUUGUUUGUCGUUGUGGUUUCUCCAUUCACUUCACUUUGUAUGUGUUGCAUAUGCAAUAUCACACAUUUCUGCAAUUCAUUCUUGUGUUGAUACCUAAUUUUAUUCACGUUUCCACCAAUUUUGGCAGCUAGGGUAGCCUAUUUUCUGCAAACCUUGU